AUGUGUGGUGUACUGAUGGAGGUGGAUCUGAAUGACUCCAAAGCCCCUCCCCAUCCGUGUGCUGUCCGCAUGCUCGGCGGAUGUCUCCUGUCCCCAUCCGUGUGCUGUCCGCAUGCUCGGCGGAUGUCUCCUGUCCCCAUCCGUGUGCUGUCCGCGUGCUCGGCGGAUGUCUCCUUUCCCCAUCCGUGUGCUGUCCGCGUGCUCGGCGGAUGUCUCCUGUCCCCAUCCGUGUGCUGUCCGCAUGCUCGGCGGAUGUCUCCUGUCCCCAUCCGUGUGCUGUCCGCGUGCUCGGCGGAUGUCUCCUGUCCCCAUCCGUGUGCUGUCUGCGUGCUCGGUGGAUGUCUCCUGUCCCCAUCCGUGUGCUGUCCGCGUGCUCGGUGGAUGUCUCCUGUCCCCUUGGUCAAGGGAAGGCUGUCUUUUCAGAGGCUCGGGCCAAACGCCUGGCACCUCUGGACCCCUCACUGGCUCUCACACCCCACAUCCAGCCCAUCAGCAUAUCCUCCCACCUCCACCUGCAAUCAGACCCUGAAUGCGUUUCUCUCCAGCCCUGCUGGUGCCAUCUGGUCCAGCGCCCUGGGCCCAGCUGGGCAGUGGCAGCUUCCCCGUGCUUGGCUCAGACGACCUCAGGGGGCUGCCCUCGCCCCGGAUGAAGCCCCAGUCCCGCGGGGCCCUGUGUCCAGGCCCGAGGCCCCUCUGGCCUCAGUCCUGCUCCCUUGGCUUGGCUCUAUGGCUGCCCCACGGGCCUCCUCUCUCAGCCUGCCCAGCCCUGCUUUUCUUCUCUCUGGAACGUUCGUCCUCCAGUUCCCAUCCGUGUGCUGUCCGCGUGCUCGGUGGAUGUCUCCUGUCCCCUUGGUCAAGGGAAGGCUGUCUUUUCAGAGGCUCGGGCCAAACGCCUGGCACCUCUGGACCCCUCACUGGCUCUCACACCCCACAUCCAGCCCAUCAGCAUAUCCUCCCACCUCCACCUGCAAUCAGACCCUGAAUGCGUUUCUCCAGCCCUGCUGGUGCCAUCUGGUCCAGCGCCUGGGCCCAGCUGGGCAGUGGCAGCUUCCCCGUGCUUGGCUCAGACGACCUCAGGGGGCUGCCCUCGCCCCGGAUGAAGCCCCAGUCCCGCGGGGCCCUGUGUCCAGGCCCGAGGCCCCUCUGGCCUCAGUCCUGCUCCCUUGGCUUGGCUCUAUGGCUGCCCCACGGGCCUCCUCUCUCAGCCUGCCCAGCCCCUGCUUUUCUUCUCUCUGGAACGUUCGUCCUCCAGUUCCCACCCCCCAGAGCCCACUCUCCUGCCUCCCUCAAGGCUCAGCAUCCCAGAGGCCACCCCUGACCCCUGAUUCUUAA
rnacentral:lncRNA from 1 species